GCUCCAGCCCGCGCCGCUCCAGCCCGCGCCGCCGCCCCCCCACACAGCGCUUCAGCCGCGCAGCCAUCCCCUGGCGGAGGGCGAGGCUUCUCCAGGCAGGGAGGCGCGUCUGCCAUGAAGAGAGCCUUACAUCUUUUGGGAUCCCCUGAUCAUCUCAGCUGCAGCUUGGCAUUUUUUCACAAGUGUUAUCUGGUCCCAAGGUGAAGCUGCUCUGUGUUAAAGAUGACUACAGACACCCAGGGUGUAAAGCAGAUUUGAACAGAAAAGAGGCCAGAGGAGCAGAGCAAGAAGCUGCAGAGCCCUGGGCCCAGGAGGCUCUAGGCACCAGAGGGGAGGUGAUCCGGGUGAGUACCUGUGAGCAAGGUGAGCAUUGACUCUAGGACAGGACUAGAUGGUCUUUUACAGGUGUUGUGGUGAAUCUGUGCACAUGCUUUGUUUCUUGUGUUCUCCAGGGGGUCUGCCACCUUCUAACAGAGUCCAGUGCUUCAGGGCCCCUGCUGGUAAUAGGUCACUGUGGAGGAGAGGUAGGUAGGAGCUCCCCCAGGAAAGCCAUCCUUUCAGGCAGUAUCUCAGUCUGUACAUUUGCCUUUGGCUUUUUUACUUUGCAGAGAAUGUGUGCAGCCUCAGAGGGCCGGAGCCACCUGCCAAUUACAUUUGAUGGUCUUCAGCUGUCCUUGUCAGUAGUCUCCUAGUACUGCGAGGCUCAUCAAUUAAGGCUUGACCUUUUCUGGUUGCAGGUGCCAUCGGGCCUGCCUUUGGCAAAGGAGGAGCAUUAAGGUAGAGGCAGGGAGGUAGUGAGGAGGUGCUGGGGUCUCCCUUACUUUCAGAAACACCACGUAACGUUUUUUCUCACUCCCCCAGGUACGGCACACAGUGACGGCAGCAGCCUCUGACUUGGGUCAGAGCCAGUGGCCCGAGAACUUCUCAGCUUAGGGGACGGUGAGUAGCCAAUUGCGGGGUUAUCGCCUAUGUGCUGCCAAACUCUUGUGUCAGAAUCGGUCAGAUCUCAGCCAGCACCCAGUCGGGGCAGUCUAAGUCUCCGUAGAAGCAGAACUGCUGCGUGGGGAGAGGUGGUCAGAGGCGCACUGCUGCUCUGCGUCCUCCCCGCUCCCCGCCGCCGACUCCCGGCCCACUACGUUGCCGCUGCUCCCCGGUCCCCCAUGCCGCACAGUCCGCCUUCGCGAUCCGGAACCGCCCCGUGUGCCGGUGGGGGGCUCCCCGAGGGGCACUGCAGGGGCCUUGGGGCCGGGACCCCGGGGGUGCAGCCCGACCAAGGGGCGGGGCAGGGGACGGGGUCCCGGGGGCGGGACCCGGGACGGCCACGGACCCGCGGGAAGGGCGCCUCCGACACGGCCCUAGUCCCUCCUCCUGACCACCCGAGCACCUCCCGCCACCCCGCGGGCUCCAAGCCCCGCCAAUCCGGGCCCGAGGCAGCGUCUGGCCCGCCAAUCCCGGCCCGCCUUUCUCGGCGCCGUCCAAUCACAGCCCGCCUUUUCAAUCCGGCAGCGGUCCCCCAAGCUCUGCCCGCUCAGCCGCGGCGCGGCCCCUCCGCGCGGCACCGUCCCCCCGUUCCUCUCAGGCGCUGCUGGGACCACGGAAGGGCGGUGGGAGCUCCGCGGUCACGUCCCGUCCGGGAGCUCUCCCAGGAGAAGGGGAGGGAGGCGGGGAGCGGGCGGGAGGGGCUCCGGGAGCGGGGCCUGCGGGACCAGCGGGGUUCUCGGGAACGGGCGGGCGCGGAUUGGCUGGGCUGGCACGGGGGGGCGGGGCCGUGCGGGCCGCGGGCUA